GCCAUAGCUCAGGGUUAGAACGUCCGCCUCACAAGCAGAAGGUCCCAGGUUCAGUCCCUAGCUCCUCCA